ACAUUUUGCUUAAAAAGGUGCAAUUGCAUCAAUACCCGAUGGACCUGCGUUGUAUUAGUUAGUUGGUGGAGUAACGGCUCCCCAAGGCGACGAUACAUAGCCGACCUGAGAGGGUGAUCGCCCACCCUGGGAAUGAGACACGGCCCAGACUCUUAAGGGAGGCAGCAGUAGGGAAUCUUCGGCAAUGGACGGAAGUCUGACCGAGCAACGCCGCGUGAGUGAAGAAGGUUUUCGGAUCGUAAAGAUCUGUUGUAAGAGAAGAACGAGUGUGAGAGUGGAAAGUUCACACUGUGACGGUAUCUUACCAGAAAGGGACGGCUAACUACGUGCCAGCAGCCGCGGUAAUACGUAGGUCCCGAGCGUUGUCCGGAUUUAUUGGGCGUAAAGCGAGCGCAGGCGGUUAGAUAAGUCUGAAGUUAAAGGCUGUGGCUUAACCAUAGUACGCUUUGGAAACUGUUUAACUUGAGUGCAAGAGGGGAGAGUGGAAUUCCAUGUGUAGCGGUGAAAUGCGUAGAUAUAUGGAGGAACACCGGUGGGGAAAGCGGCUCUCUGGCUUGUAACUGACGCUGAGGCUCGAAAGCGUGGGGAGCAAACAGG
rnacentral:rRNA from 1 species